CAACGGUAUCGCAACAUGUGCCCGGAAUCGAGGUAUGAUGUCAUUUAACAGUGCUUGUGUACUCGCCUUGUUUGUCCUACAGACAAAAGCCACCGACCAAGCUGAAGCAGUGUCUGUCAGCACCACGACGUUCCCCAAGUUCUGAGAAAUACAUUUGCCAUCGCUUUGCCUUCACUGCAUUUUGUUUUUUAACAUAAAUAUUGGAUCUCUUAAUUUCAAGGACUCACGACCUACCUGCACGUGCGCCAUAUACGUAAAAUGAAGCAUUUACCAAUUACCGAAUUAGAAGAGUUUAGAAUGUUAGAAGCUCCGUCCAGCCGCGGUGCAAACACGCGGCCUCCGCCCGGCAGCGUUCCCACACUCAACAUGGCUCCUCGAGUGCUUCACCCGCUCUUCAGCGCCCCCCUGCAGCGCACCUCUCUGCCGCUCUGAACUUGCCGUGCCCUUUCUGAAAAUGGCCGCCAGCUUCACCCCGCGGCCGCCUUGCCUGGGUGACGGCCGGGUCGCGGUCACGUGGCGGGCGGUGGGUCGUGAGGGCGGUGAGGUGCCGGGUUUGUCCGCUCCUCCUGGCCGCGUCGUGCGGUCGGCUCCUAUUGGGUCCAGGGCCUCUCAGGGUCCGUGCCGCUUAUGUACGGGACGGCGCCGGAGGGCCGGGAUCGGCGGCAGCGGGAAGGCACUGAGUUCUCUGAGAUGUGCUAUGGAAAUGAUGAGAGCUACUUCUGAGGCUGUGAGCGGUGGCUGAUGAGAGAAGCUAAAGAGAGGAACCUCAAAAUUGAACAGAUUGGUAAAUCCAAGCCUUGGGUUUUAUAUGCUCUUUGUUCUAACAAACACGUCUGACCCUUAAUUACUUCAACGGUUUUUAUGUGGCACCAGACAAGGUAGGGAAGCUCUAGGACUUGAUAUGCUUGCAUUGAUGCUUCUCUCAGACUGUUUUGCUUUUCUGCAGUAGCAUAACAUUCUAGGCAGUGGCUUCCCAAUAAUCUUCUCAUGUCAAAUGAUGUUAAUGUUUAGACCUGAUCACAAUGGUGAAUAUCGUUAAGGCUGCAUUUCUGAAUUUUCACUGUCUGCAGUAAAGCUUCUCAAGCUGUGGUUCCCAUUCCACUGAGAAAGUCUGCCCUUUGUGUUGCACUGUGGGAAGGUACAUGAAGUGUCCAUCUCUUCUGGAGUGUUUUCCUUCCUGUUGCUGACUGUUUCAGUCAGUGUCACUCUUGCACUCUGGUAACACGUUGAUGCUUGAGAAAUGGACCUUGGAGGGAGUGGGGUAGGAGGUGUGUGUCCAACACAAGUUUUUGCCUUGCUGUGCUUUUACAGUAGAAUAUAAGUUCUGCAUGUGAAGUAUUUAAGUAAAGUCCUGUUUUCAUGUUGUUACUGACAUUCUGUAUGACCACGUCUUGAAGUGAAAUAGUGGAGAAAAGCAUUGUCUGCAAGCUGUAGAGACGAUGUUAAUAGCAUAUAACGUGUGACAAGGCUAAGCGUUGUAGAGAGCUCUCACAGCAUGGGUGUUCUUUUCAGUAAGGCUGCAAGCUGUGGGCCAAAGGAUGAGAGAAAUAAGCACCUGCCUUGAAUUUUCAUUAUUUCCUGGGAGGGCUGAUGAAAAAGUUCAGUAACAAUGGUGAAAUAUUUAUUUAUGUGCAUGCGCUACUACUUUGAAUAUCAAUAAAUAUUCUAUUCUGUAUUCUGUUUACUUUUUGGUUUAUAGAUACGGAAUGAAAGGGCAUUUCAUAGAAAAUGGAUGAAGGUAUGUCUGUUUUCCUUCUUAAAAGUGAAAUGUGCUUCUGAAGUUCCCUUGUUAUCACAUGUGCUUUGCUUGUCUGAUUUUUCUCUAGAGAAGAGACCUUCAUCCUGUGACAACUUUGCUUCCUGACCUCUCGUGGUAGCUGCAGGCAUGAAGCACUAACAGGAACACGGGAUCCUUAGACUUCUUUUUUUUUUUUUUAUCUGAAGAUUUUAUUUUGAACUUUGUAAGUCCGUGUAUGCUAUGGAGGGCAUUUUAAAGGAGGCUGCAGUUGAACCGUACAAAUUCGUCUUCUUACUGGCUGGAAAACAGCUUAAUUUGUAAGUCAGAGAUCUGGAAUUCCUUCAGACUCUCAAGUGAAGUUCCAGUGGAUAUGAUGUCCUUUAAUUAUUGUUGUACAGCUCCAAGCUUUCAUUGCAUGGUCUGAUUUACUUUUUCCAUAAAGUAAGAGCUCUGUAUUUUAACUGUGCAAAAGUCAAUAACCUCAUUUAGAACAUCAGUUGGAAAGAGACAGUAUUUCACAUCAGUUAACACUGUGCUGUCACUGUUUCCUUCCCUGCACACCCUUCUUUGGAAGCUCACUUCUCUUUGAGUUAUGUUAUGCUGAAGUGGAAUCUUAAUAUAAGUUCUACUAUAUGCAUUAUUCAUGUCCUUGUUGCUGCUUUGAGGCUAAGAAGGAAAUGCAUUUCUUCUCAAUAGAAAGUAAGGGUUAAUCUGUGUGUGAAGAAAACUGCUGAUUCUUUUUUUCGUCUCCAUGCACAACUUUGCAGAAAUUGGGUCCCUUCUGCUUAAAAUCAGCCAGUCAGCUGCUAUUAGAAAAGUUCUUUUAGUUUUUGUAUGCUAUACAAGGUCAGUUGUGUCAUUUGUCCGUGGCAGCAUCUGCCGCUAUUUCAUUCAGUGAUUAGUUUUAGCAGAAUAAUACAGAAAAUGGCGUACAGCAGUUAAAUGUGACAUGACAUUAGGAGGGAAAAGCCCUCUGUAACUUAAGUGUCUUUCAUGAGGCUGGCAUAGAUAACAUUCUGCCUGCUCGUGAAAAGUGGGAGUGCUCUCUGAAACACUUUAUCCUCAUUUAUAUGUAAGGCUGUGUGAUACACUUGUAGUCUGUUAAACUGAUCUAUGGUCAAAGGUUAUAGCAGGACAGGUAAGCAGGAAUUUUAUAAAGAAACUUCCUUAGGCAUUGAGUUAAUAAACUUUGAUCACCUGCAAGAGCCUUUCUGAGAAAUAGCAAUUAUAAUAUGGUAGUGCAUAACUAAUUUUUCUGUGGUUGUUUUAUUCCUGAUUUGCCUACAGUAGGCAGGAGUUGCACCUCAGCGAGUUUAUAGUGCUUUAGGAAACAUGCAUUGCAUACUUUAAUUACAUAGACACGUUUUACAUACUGACUUGUAUUACUCACUUCCACCACUUUGUUUUCAGAGAAACUGGUGAGAUCCAGAAGCUCACUGGGGCUUUGAUUACUUUUCUGUUACAAUAAUGUCUGGAUUCUCAGUUCCCAUUUAGUUGUGAUGGCAGUGCAGUGUUUGGGAAGCAUGCAGCCAGCUGACUUGUUCUUCUCAUCCUGGGUUUUGUCACACGGCGGUCAUGUUUUGCAGAGUUAGACUUCAUCUGAUUAUUGACUUCUGGAUAGAAAUGUGUACGAUGUGCUCGUUACCUUUGUAUUAUCAGCAGUCUUCAUUAGGGCGGAGGUCUUGUGAAGGAAACGAGCUUUGGUUGGGUGUUGGUCACUGUCAGUGAGUCGCUCUGCAGCUCUUGCAGCCCACCCAGUGUGCCUUUUGCAGCUGAGCUUGUCAGGGUGUACAAAAAGAGCCGAGUUGGGUACUAAGCUGUAAAUGCGGCUGCGUGUUUCAACUGGGACCUUGUGCUGUAUCUUGCUAUUGACAAUAAGUAUUUAAAGCUUGACCUAAGGCAGUACGAGACUGUGCUGCUUCUCUUUUAGCACCUUAAGGUUACUGUUACAGGUCACCAAGGGCAAUAUUAGAAUGAAGCUUUGCGUUAGCAAGCUGUGGAGGUGGCGUGAUGUACGUAAAGCUAGGUUUACUUAUGCUGCUGUGUUCUAAAGAAAUAAUCUUGUACUCAUGCGAAUGCUGCAUUAUGUUACAGAUUGCUCUGUAAUGCAACCUUUUCUGUUCUACUGGUAUUAUCCCAAAGCAAGUGUGCUUUUCACUUUCAGUUUGGAGGAGAGGAAUUACUGCAGCUGUUUGUACUUCUAGGCCUUGAUUUUUCUUUUUGCGAUAAGUGCUCUUAAUAUAUUGGGUAGGCCUCUCUAUCCUGGGACAAAACCAGUGCCAAACGCCUGAGUAACUCAGCAGGAACUGCGGGCUGUGGAGAUUGCAGAACCUUCAGCAAUGCAGCAGUGCAGGAUGUUGAGCUCGGAUCCUAAAGCAAACCUGCGUGAACGGAAACAUGAGCUCGUAAGUGUUGUGCACUACUGAUAGCUUUUAAAGCUGUGUGUGUAAGGACUGCCUAAGGUACUGCACAGCACAUCCAUCUGCUGUGUCAGGACAAGAGAGAAACUGCAGCUCACUCCUCUGUCAGCCUGAACUCAGAAAUGCUGAGGUGUCAGGACAGCUGUCCUUAACCGCUGUGAGAAAAACGUUGUGUAAGUUGUAUGGCAUUUUUGAGUUACGUUUUCACCUUGGCCUAUGCAGCUGAGUUCAGGUAUCAUUCAGAUUCUGAAGAUCUAUUCAAAAGGGGGAUGUUCUUGAGAACUAGCAUGAAAAACACAGGAGGAAAAGAACAUAAUAAAGUUAAUCUAGCUGUAUGUUUCUUAGGGUCUCUCUCAGGUUGUGUGUCUCCAGUUACGAAUAAUAGGUAUGAGGGUUUUGUUAUCUGGGGUAUCUAUCCAGCCUAAAAAACAGACUAGCAAACAGACUUUCUUAUAACUUUUUCUAACAGCUGCUUUGGUUAGGAGGUACAGCUGGAGGCUGUAACCGUCAGUUGCUCUUUUCAUUUAAUGUUCAGUUUUUUGUGGUGGUACAGGCAGAGAAUGUAUUGGUUUUUCUUUAUUAAAGUUCUCAACACUGGGAAUUGGUUCAGGAAGUGGAUUUGCUGUCUUUUCCUUUCCUGUGGGUUUGUUCUGUCUGUUUUGUGGAGGGAAGGAUGGUGGGGUGAGGGGGAGGAGGGAGGUUGCUUGUUGGAUUGUUUUCCCAUGUUUUAUCUGGGAACAUUCUUUUUGCAUUGGAAGAUAUUUUUAUUUUUAGCCAGGAAGCUGUUUCUCCACUGUGUGGUGGAGAAAAUGAGGUGUAGAUGGUUGUACUAACUUGGUGUAAUGCUAUGCAUAUGAACAACAAACCGAUUUUCCCAGUAUGACUGUGUGUAACUCAGCAGCUGAUUGCUAUGAAGGAUUCCCCUUUGGUCAGUGUGUGCCAGUGAGGGCACAAGAGCCUCAGGGUGGGUGCUGCGCCUGUUUGGGUGAGAGGUAGGAAGUUUACAUCCCUGUAUUGUCAGAGAGCUUUACUGAGUCUUUUUUCUCUAGCUGUGUUAUUUUUUGUAAAGCAUGAAAGCAGUUCUGUGGAAAGUGUGAUAAAUAAGCCUUCUUUUUCUUUAAGGUAAUUCAAUAGGAAGCAGAAAGAUCUAAGAGCAAGCAAAUUUGACCACUAGGCACGUGCAGAAAUAAGCUACUGCUUGCUAUUGUUAUUGCUAUUAGAGUACUUUGAUCUGAAGUACCUGCUGAGGUUAGUGUGCUUUCCAUGUUCUUUUUUGCUCAUUUUAUUUUAUCCUUAAGUAGACAUUUGAUACCUUUCAGUUUGAGAAAAUAGAAUGAAGUACCUCCGUAUUCUUAUCCCACUUGAGAUUGUUGUCUAAGUCAGCAUUUCUUUGUGUGUGGGAAAAGGGAAAUACUUUGUCAUGCUGGCUUCUGAAAACGUGGCUUGGCAAUUACUGUGCAAAUUCUUAGUGGUCUUGUGCUGUCUGUGCCACAGUUCUGCAGAGAGGCGGCACAUACAGUGCCAUUAAGAUGAAGGCAAAUGCCUUAAUUUUCAUUCUUCUGCUCGUUACUGCAUAUGUAACAGUGUUCAAGAAAAUGACUGUCAUGUCAUCUGAACAGUUCAGAACACCUGGGCAGCUCUUCCCAUUUCCAUGUUACUUCAGACUUUCCUGAGGUCACAUUCCUCUUUUCUGCUCGCUCACACUAAGAAACCCCGACAAACAGCUCUACCUCCUAUAGUCAAUUAUUCCGUAGGGAGAAGCCCUUCUGUACUUUCUUUUGCUGGUCUCUUUACUCUGUCUGCCACAGAACUGAUGUUUUAAGAUGUGCUUAGUAUAAUUCUGUAAUCAUCUUCUAUGGGUAGAAUUCGUUUUGGAAAUGUGGUUACUUUACGUUGGAAAUAAUUUUUGUAUGUGAAAUUAAUUUGCUUGGACUAGAAAUCACAGAUAUUUUACUAAGAUGAAACAGAACAGAAAUUGGAAGAAAAUAAUUGCAUCUCAGCACAUGCAGCAUAGUUUACUCAGCCAGGCUGGUUGUACUUGUGAGUGGACGGACACUUAGAAGGAGGUGGAAGCUCUGCAGCUCUGACAGAUGGCCCAGACAACCUUAUUGUCAUAAUCAAAGCUAUGGUAAUGUAUAUCAACAAAAAUGGAAUAAACAAAGGAAAUGUUCUGUUACAAAGAGCCAGCUUUGAUUUAUGCCGUAUCUGUGAAUAUCCUGUACAGUGCUUUUGUAGCUGUGUUACCGAGACCACCAGAAGUCUUUUUUUCUACCUAAACUUUGUAUGUAGUUGUAUCAUAAAUUAACUUUAAUUUGAUUGUGUACUGGAGGAGGAAUUUGUGGGUUUUUUUUGUUUUUUUUUUUUUUGUUAAACAGCAGUAUUAAAAAUACAUAGAGUUUAUAUAAUAGCAGUCAUUACUGAGAUAGUGGAAUAAAUAGUUGCGGGUUGAUCCUGUGUUGCUUUUUAUUCUUCAUGUACAGUAUGUGUUUCAAAAGAAUAUGGGCGUCUGAUAGAUUCUAGUAAUGUCUAUUCCUUCUGUUUCUUUCUUUAUUCAGACACUUAAUCACUCUCAAUCUGUCAGGCUUCCCCUGCCUCAUUUCUGAUCUUUGCCUCAGCGAGCAGCUUUCUACCUCAGAGUCUUUUGUAAGUAUGCCUUGAAUGCAUUUAGUUGCUCUUGUAAAGUGAGUUGCACUGUUUCUUGUGCACGCACACAAAUUAUGACAAGGUACCGAGAAUUCAGAAUUGCUUGCCUUUGGUGCUGGAGGUUCUGUGCCUGACAAAGUCUUAAACAUCCUGCUUUUCUUCUUACCAUAAGACAAAAUGGUACAAUGAAUGUGCAGGAUUAGUACCUCCCAGUCAAUUGACGUAUAUUGAAGAAAAAAAUUGCUGGAACAGAGAUGCAGUUUGAUUUAUCCUUGCGGUUUAUUCCAAGGCUGCGUGCUCUGAAAUGCUGGUAUAGUUUGUGUCGGAAGUGGUCGUGACCUUUCUACUGGCAUCAGUUCAUUCCCAGGGGAAUAACUGCAGCUGACUACAGUGCUGGUUUUGUUGUUCCAUCCCCACACAAGAUAUUCUCAGAAUCUUUUUUUUUUCUGUUCCAAUCAUUAGUAUUACUGUAUUAUUAGGAUGAUGGCUCAUUGAUGUACGCAAAUUGCUCUGAAAGGAAUGCCUCCUAUUUAUUUCCAUAGAAAUGACAACAGAUACAUAGAGUGAAUUCUCAGCUACAAAACUGUUUUUCAACAUGGUCACCACCAUUAGCUAUAAACAUCAUUAGCUGUAAACAAUUCUUUAUAACAGAUACAGCUACAAUAUACACUCCUAAGGGGGAAGCAGGAAUGUAUUUAUUGAUGAGCAUAGAUAUGCUGUAGUAGAUAUAACAGUGCCUUAACAAGACUGGAGAUGGCUGGAUUCACUUGGUUAUUUUCCACAUAGAGGACAGGGUUACACACACACCUACAGGACUCUCUCCUGCUGUGUCAUGAGGAUCAGAGCCAACCUCAUGGCUGUGUGAACUCUUCAAACCGCAGAGGUAAGGUUCCUCAGCACAGCUGGAUCCACUCCUAGUCCCAGACGUGUUCAGGAGUUUGUGUCUCAGGGAUCCUAUGUGCACAAAGAUACAACAUAUAAUCUGUAUGAUGGACUAUUUGCAUGUGAGGAGGCAGUUUAUAAUCAUGCAGAUGUUCAGCCACUGUUCUGUGGCAAAUGGUUGGACUGUGCAGUUUGUAGAUUGCCCUAAGGCAAUCUACAGAAAGUAUCUUGUCACCCCUGCCAUGUUCCUCUGCAAUUGGGAUAGUGGAAAAUGCACUAGCUAAAUCAAUUACAGCAUACCCGCUUCUGGAAUGCUACUGAACUUCUUCUCUUAAAGCAAUGGUUACCUGCUACAGCCGCUGUGAGAGGUGGGGUGUGCUUAUUUAAUUCACGACCCAUCACUUUUUGACAGGCCAUAUUGGACUGUUCCAAGCUGUAGUAGUUGACUUAAAACUCCUGCAUCCAAUAAAUCAUUAAUUGUCCUUGAUAUCUCUUCAUGCCAACCCCCAGGGUGGUAUAUUGUUUCAUUGUCACUACUUCAGUUGCAGGAGGAAUCUGCGCAGCAGGCAUUUUUACUUUUCCCACUAAAAUUGUCGGAGCACUAAUGCAAUUCUUUAUUCCAAAUUGGUGCUGACCGCUGGGAAGAUUCAAGGUGAGUCCUUUUGGAAUACCUAUCCCUGUGAUGUUUUCUGGGACAGGGACAAUCAUGACAGGAUACAAUCACUUCAGGAGGUUUCCUGUUUUCAUUUCUAUUUGUGUUUUCACAGGUUGCAUUUGUUUCCCUCCCAACCCUAUUACUGGUUGUCCUUCAGAUUUCUUGGGGUUCCCAUAUACUAAGGAGGCCUCUGCUCGGGGUCGUUUGAGGCUCUGCAGUUUGUGAGGACCAGUUUUUCCAAAAUAUCUCCUUCCAAGGAUAGAAAUUGGAAUAUCGUUCCCAAUCGUUCUCCCCCACAACAGCCACAUCGGGCACUCUGCAAAUAGAUUGAAAAAGCAAGGAAGUUCUCUGCCCUUGCUCCUGUCCUUUGUUCCUGCCUCCACAUGCCCUCAGCAUGCAGCCAGGAGAGGAGGGGCACUCAGGAGCACAGUGGGAA